UCCUAAACCCGAAUGUAAUGAAAAGCCCGUAAACGAAGAAUGAGUGCGGACUUGGAAUGGAAUGCGGGACUGAAG
rnacentral:sRNA from 1 species